rnacentral:rRNA from 1 species
AAUCUGCCCCUAAGACGAGGAUAACAGUUGGAAACGACUGCUAAGACUGGAUAGGAGACAAGAAGGCAUCUUUUUGUUUUUAAAAGACCUAGCAAUAGGUAUGCUUAGGGAGGAGCUUGCGUCACAUUAGUUAGUUGGUGGGGUAAAGGCUUACCAAGACUAUGAUGUGUAGCCGGGCUGAGAGGUUGAACGGCCACAUUGGGACUGAGACACGGCCCAAACUCCUACGGGAGGCAGCAGUAGGGAAUUUUCGGCAAUGGAGGAAACUCUGACCGAGCAACGCCGCGUGAACGAUGAAGUAUUUCGGUACGUAAAGUUCUUUUAUUAGGGAAGAAUAAAUGAUGGAAAAAUCAUUCUGACGGUACCUAAUGAAUAAGCCCCGGCUAACUAUGUGCCAGCAGCCGCGGUAAUACAUAGGGGGCAAGCGUUAUCCGGAAUUAUUGGGCGUAAAGGGUGCGUAGGCGGUUAAAUAAGUUUAUGGUCUAAGUGCAAUGCUUAACAUUGUGAUGCUAUAAAAACUGUUUAGCUAGAGUAAGAUAGAGGCAAGUGGAAUUCCAUGUGUAGUGGUAAAAUGCGUAAAUAUAUGGAGGAACACCAGUAGCGAAGGCGGCUUGCUGGGUCUUUACUGACGCUGAGGCACGAAAGCGUGGGGAGCAAACAGGAUUAGAUACCCUGGUAGUCCACGCCGUAAACGAUGAGUACUAAAUGUUGGGUAAAACCAGUGUUGAAGUUAACACAUUAAGUACUCCGCCUGAGUAGUACGUACGCAAGUAUGAAACUUAAAGGAAUUGACGGGACUCCGCACAAGCGGUGGAUCAUGUUGUUUAAUUCGAAGGUACCCGAAAAACCUCACCAGGUCUUGACAUGCUUCUGCAAAGCUGUAGAAACACAGUGGAGGUUAUCAGUUGCACAGGUGGUGCAUGGUUGUCGUCAGCUCGUGUCGUGAGAUGUUGGGUUAAGUCCCGCAACGAGCGCAACCCUUAUUGUUAGUUGCCAGCACGUAAUGGUGGGGACUUUAGCAAGACUGCCAGUGAUAAAUUGGAGGAAGGUGGGGACGACGUCAAAUCAUCAUGCCCCUUAUGACCUGGGCUACAAACGUGAUACAAUGGCUGUUACAAAGGGUAGCUGAAACGCAAGUUUUUGGCGAAUCUCAAAAAAACAGUCUCAGUUCGGAUUGAAGUCUGCAACUCGACUUCAUGAAGUUGGAAUCGCUAGUAAUCGCGAAUCAGCAUGUCGCGGUGAAUACGUUCUCGGGGUUUGUACACACCGCCCGUCAAA